GCCCUUGGCUCAGUUGGUUAGAGCGCUGCACCAUAAUCGCAGGGCCGCAGGUUCGAUACCUGCCAGGGACC